UACAGAGGGUGCGAGCGUUGUCCGGAAUCACUGGGCGUAAAGGGCGCGUAGGUGGCGACCCAAGUCGAUGGUGAAAGCUCGCCGCUCAACGGCGAGUCGGCCACCGAUACUGGGUUGCUCGAGCACCUGUAGAGGCUCAUGGAAUUCCGGGUGUAGCGGUGGAAUGCGUAGAGAUCCGGAAGAACACCGGUGGCGAAGGCGGUGAGCUGGGCAGUUGCUGACACUGAGGCGCGACAGCGUGGGGAGCAAACAGGG
rnacentral:rRNA from 1 species